rnacentral:misc_RNA from 1 species
CCACCACAAGAGCUGCCGCAGGCGGCCCUGCACCCGCAAUUCUUUCAGUCUCAAGCUGAUACGAUGAGAGAUUACUUGGUGUACUCCCAGCUGUUACAGAGCACUGGGGACAUGCAUGGAACUCAACCAUCGAGUUUGCUAGAGCAGAUGUUUUAUAAUCAGCAAUUGGCUUCUCUACAAUCAAGUUUUCCACUGUCUUCUUCUCUAUCUUCUUUGUCUUCAUUAUCUUCCUCCAUUUCAGCUCCUUCAAUUGCAGCGUUUUCUUCUGGGUCAUUAUCAUCAUCAUCUUCAUCCUCUGCUUCACUUC